ACUCCUACGGGAGGCAGCAGUGGGGAAUAUUGCACAAUGGGGAAACCCUGAUGCAGCCAUGCCGCGUGUGUGAAGAAGGCCUUCGGUUGUAAAGCACUUUCAGUAGGGAGGAAGGUAGUGUAGUUAACACCUGCACUAUUUGACGUUACCUACAGAAGAAGCACCGGCUAACUCCGUGCCAGCAGCCGCGGUAAUACGGAGGGGUGCGAGCGUUAAUCGGAAUUACUGGGCGUAAAGCGCAUGCAGGCGGCCUGUUAAGUCAGAUGUGAAAGCCCGGGGGCUUAACCUCGGAAUUGCAUUUGAAACUGGCAGGCUAGAGUCUUGUAGAGGGGGGUAGAAUUUCAGGUGUAGCGGUGAAAUGCGUAGAGAUCUGAAGGAAUACCAGUGGCGAAGGCGGCCCCUGGACAAAGACUGACGCUCAGAUGCGAAAGCGUGGGAGCAAACAGGAUUAGAUACCCUGGUAGCACAGAG
rnacentral:rRNA from 1 species